AUUGAACGCUGGUGGCAGGCCUAACACAUGCAAGUCGAGCGGAUGAAGGGAGCUUGCUCCUGGAUUCAGCGGCGGACGGGUGAGUAAUGCCUAGGAAUCUGCCUGGUAGUGGGGGAUAACGUCCGGAAACGGGCGCUAAUACCGCAUACGUCCUGAGGGAGAAAGUGGGGGAUCUUCGGACCUCACGCUAUCAGAUGAGCCUAGGUCGGAUUAGCUAGUUGGUGGGGUAAAGGCCUACCAAGGCGACGAUCCGUAACUGGUCUGAGAGGAUGAUCAGUCACACUGGAACUGAGACACGGUCCAGACUCCUACGGGAGGCAGCAGUGGGGAAUAUUGGACAAUGGGCGAAAGCCUGAUCCAGCCAUGCCGCGCGUGUGAAGAAGGUCUUCGGAUUGUAAAGCACUUUAAGUUGGGAGGAAGGGCAGUAAGUUAAUACCUUGCUGUUUUGACGUUACCAACAGAAUAAGCACCGGCUAACUUCGUG
rnacentral:rRNA from 1 species